rnacentral:rRNA from 3 species
AGGCUUAACACAUGCAAGUCGAGCGGGCGUAGCAAUACGUCAGCGGCAGACGGGUGAGUAACGCGUGGGAACAUACCUUUUGGUUCGGAACAACACAGGGAAACUUGUGCUAAUACCGGAUAAGCCCUUACGGGGAAAGAUUUAUCGCCGAAAGAUUGGCCCGCGUCUGAUUAGCUAGUUGGUAGGGUAAUGGCCUACCAAGGCGACGAUCAGUAGCUGGUCUGAGAGGAUGAUCAGCCACAUUGGGACUGAGACACGGCCCAA